GCCGUGACAUGGCCACCCUGUGACACUACACACAGUCACACACAGUCACACACACAGUCACACAGUGAGUGUGUGUAGUGUGUGUGUGAGUGAGAGGUGAGCACGCAUGCCUUCCUCUAGAUGCCGUGACAUGGCCACCCUGUGACACUACACACAGUCACACACAGUCACACACACAGUCACACAGUGAGUGUGUGUAGUGUGUGUGUGAGUGAGAGGUGAGCACGCAUGCCUUCCUCUAGAUGCCGUGACAUGGCCACCCUGUGACACUACACACAGUCACACACAGUCACACACACAGUCACACAGUGAGUGUGUGUAGUGUGUGUGUGAGUGAGAGGUGAGCACGCAUGCCUUCCUCUAGAUGCCGUGACAUGGCCACCCUGUGACACUACACACAGUCACACACAGUCACACACACAGUCACACAGUGAGUGUGUGUAGUGUGUGUG